rnacentral:rRNA from 1 species
CUCCAGACUCCUACGGGAGGCAGCAGUGGGGGAUAUUGCACAAUGGGGGAAACCCUGAUGCAGCGACGCCGCGUGGGCGAAGAAGUAUUUCGGUAUGUAAAGCCCUAUCAGCAGGGAAGAAGAAAUGACGGUACCUGAGUAAGAAGCACCGGCUAAAUACGUGCCAGCAGCCGCGGUAAUACGUAGGGGGCAAGCGUUAUCCGGAUUCACUGGGUGUAGAGGGAGCGUAGACGGCGACGCAAGUCUGGAGUGAAAGCCCGGGGCCCAACCCCGGGACUGCUCUGGAAACUGCGUCGCUGGAGUACGGGAGGGGCAGGCGGAAUUCCUAGUGUAGCGGUGAAAUGCGUAGAUAUUAGGAGGAACACCAGUGGCGAAGGCGGCCUGCUGGACGACAACUGACGGUGAGGCGCGAAAGCGUGGGGAGCAAACAGGAUUAGAUACCCGAGUA